GAGCCCGUAGCUCAGCAUGGAUAGAACGCUUGCCUUCUAAGCAAGAGGUCGUGGGUUCAAAUCCCACCGGGCUCG
rnacentral:tRNA from 1 species